GCGCCGGUGGUGUAAGGUGUAGCAUCGCCGCCCGGAAAGUAGAAAGUGCGGGUUCGAAUUCCGCCUGGCGCA
rnacentral:tRNA from 1 species